rnacentral:tRNA from 3 species
CGGGAUAUAGCGCAGUUUGGUAGCGCGCCUGCUUUGGGAGCAGGAUGUCGCAGGUUCAAGUCCUGCUAUCCCGAC